GACAGAGGCCCCAAGCGUUAGGCGGAAUCACUGGGCUUAAAGCGUGUGUAGGCGGACGCCUAAGUGUCUUGUGAAAUCCCCCGGCUCACCCGGGGAACUGCUGGGCAUACUGGGCGUCUUGGGCCAACUAGGGGCAGCCGGAACAAGCGGUGGAGCGGUGAAAUGCGUAGAUAUCGCUUGGAACGCCGAAGGUGAAAACAGGCUGCUGGGGUUGCGCCGACGCUGAGACACGAAAGCCAGGGGAGCAAACAGG
rnacentral:rRNA from 1 species